AUGAACGCUGGCGGCGUGCCUAAACAUGCAAGUCGAGCGGUAACAGGUGUAGCAAUACAUGCUGACGAGCGGCGAACGGGUGAGUAAUGCUUCGGAAUCUGCCCAAUGGUGGGGAAUAACCAGCCGAAAGGUUGGCUAAUACCGCAUAAGUCCUACGGGGGAAAGCAGGGGAUCGCAAGACCUUGCGCCGAUGGAUGAGCCGAAGUCGGAUUAGCUAGUUGGUAGGGUAACGGCCUACCAAGGCGACGAUCCGUAGCUGGUCUGAGAGGACGACCAGCCACACUGGGACUGAGACACGGCCCAGACUCCUACGGGAGGCAGCAGUGGGGAAUAUUGGACAAUGGGGGAAACCCUGAUCCAGCGACGCCGCGUGUGUGAAGAAGGCCUGCGGGUUGUAAAGCACUUUUAGUGGGGAUGAAAAGCUCAGGGCUAACACCUCUGGGUCUUGACCUAACCCAAAGAAAAAGCACCGGCUAACUCUGUGCCAGCAGCCGCGGUAAUACAGAGGGUGCGAGCGUUAAUCGGAAUUACUGGGCGUAAAGCGUGCGUAGACGGUUAUGUAAGUCGGGUGUGAAAGCCCCGGGCUC
rnacentral:rRNA from 1 species